AAGUCGUAACAAGGUCUCCGUAGGUGAACCUGCGGAGGGAUCAUUACCGAGUGAGGGCGCUUCCGGCGCCCGACCUCCCACCCUUUGUCGAUUGAAACCUUUGUUGCCUCGGGGGCGACCCGGCCUGUCACGGGCGUCGGGGCCCCCGGUGGACCACCAAACUCUGCGUCUGUGCGUCGGAGUCUCAAGUAAAUUGAAUCAAAACUUUCAACAACGGAUCUCUUGGUUCUG
rnacentral:misc_RNA from 1 species